rnacentral:lncRNA from 1 species
UUUCUUUUUAGGGAUAAGAGCAAUAAAUGCAGCAUUGCAGGAUUUGACCAUAUGAAAGCUAUGAUAGAAGUGAUUGAGAGCCUCCAUGAGAUCUGUCAAGACUUCUGAUUCCCCAAGAGGUGAUUCUAGAACAACACAUUCAUCUGCAGAUAAUGAGGGUAACCCCUUGAACUCUGCUGUUGAUCUCCAGGGUUCCCUCUCUUUGUAGAAAACCUGAUAAUAAUCCAGUAUUUCCUGUUUGAUCUGCUCCUUAUUUUCAACUAGAUUUUUUCCCACUUUGACCCUAUCAAUGCAAUUAUUCCUCCUUUGAGAAUUAGCAAUUUUUUUAGAAUACUUUGUGUUUUUGUCUCUGUUAGAAUAUGUAAUAGUAGAACCCUAAUCCAAUGUGUAUUAGGAGUAGCCUAAUCC